GUGGGGGCAGCCUUAACAUUGCAAGUUCGAGCGGAUGAAGUUGAGCUUGCUUCACGGAUUCAGCGGCGGACGGGUGAGUAAUGCCUAGGAAUCUGCCUGGUAGUGGGGGACAACGUUUCGAAAGGAACGCUAAUACCGCAUACGUCCUACGGGAGAAAGCAGGGGACCUUCGGGCCUUGCGCUAUCAGAUGAGCCUAGGUCGGAUUAGCUAGUUGGUGAGGUAAUGGCUCACCAAGGCUACGAUCCGUAACUGGUCUGAGAGGAUGAUCAGUCACACUGGAACUGAGACACGGUCCAGACUCCUACGGGAGGCAGCAGUGGGGAAUAUUGGACAAUGGGCGAAAGCCUGAUCCAGCCAUGCCGCGUGUGUGAAGAAGGUCUUCGGAUUGUAUAGCACUUUAAGUUGGGAGGAAGGGUUGUAGAUUAAUACUCUGCAAUUUUGACGUUACCGACAGAAUAAGCACCGGCUAACUCUGUGCCAGCAGCCGCGGUAAUACAGAGGGUGCAAGCGUUAAUCGGAAUUACUGGGCGUAAAGCGCGCGUAGGUGGUUCGUUAAGUUGGAUGUGAAAUCCCCGGGCUCAACCUGGGAACUGCAUCCAAAACUGGCGAGCUAGAGUAUGGUAGAGGGUGGUGGAAUUCCUGUGUAGCGGUGAAAUGCGUAAAUAUACCAAGUAACACCAGUGGCGAACGCGGCCACCUGGACUGGUACUGACCCUGAGGUGCGAAACCAUGGGGAGCAAACAAGAUUAGAGUACCCCGCUAGCCCACGGGGUAUACAAUAUAAACUACCCGUUGGAGCCUUGAGCUCUUAGUGGCGCAGCUAACGCAUUAAGUUGACCGCCUGGGGAGUACGGCCGCAAGGUUAAAACUCAAAUGAAUUGACGGGGGCCCGCACAAGCGGUGGAGCAUGUGGUUUUAUUCGAAGCUACGCGAAGAACCUUACCAGGCCUUGACAUCCAAUGAACUUUCCAGAGAUGGAUUGGUGCCUUCGGGAGCAUUGAGACAGGUGCUGCAUGGCUGUCGUCAGCUCGUGUCGUGAGAUGUUGGGUUAAGUCCCGUAACGAGCGCAACCCUUGUCCUUAGUUACCAGCACGUUAUGGUGGGCACUCUAAGGAGACUGCCGGUGACAAACCGGAGGAAGGUGGGGAUGACGUCAAGUCAUCAUUGCCCUUACGGCCUGGGCUACACACGUGCUACAAUGGUCGGUACAAAGGGUUGCCAAGCCGCGAGGUGGAGCUAAUCCCAUAAAACCGAUCGUAGUCCGGAUCGCAGUCUGCAACUCGACUGCGUGAAGUCGCAAUCGCUAGUAAUCGCGAAUCAGAAUGUCGCGGUGAAUACGUUCCCGGGCCUUGUACACACCGCCCGUCACACCAUGGGAGUGGGUUGCACCAGAAGUAGCUAGUCUAACCUUCGGGAGGACGGUUACCACGGUGUGAUUCAUGACUGGGGUGAAGUCGUAACAAGGUAGCCGUAGGGGAACCUGCGGCUGGAUCACCUCCUU
rnacentral:rRNA from 1 species